rnacentral:rRNA from 1 species
GGGGAAUUUUCCGCAAUGGGCGAAAGCCUGACAGAGCAAUACCGCGUGAGGGAUGAAAACUUACUGAGUUGUAAACCUCGGUGCCUUAAAGAAGAAGAUCUGACGGUACUUGAGGAAUAAGCCACGGCUAAUUCCGUGCCAGCAGCCGCGGUAAUACGGGAGUGGCAAGCGUUAUCCGGAAUUAUUGGGCGUAAAGCGUCCGCAGGCGGCCUUGAAAGUCUGUUGUUAAAGCGUGGAGCUUAACUCCAUUUCAGCAAUGGAAACUACAAGGCUAGAGUGUGGUAGGAGCAGAGGGGAUUCCCGGUGUAGCGGUGAAAUGCGUAGAUAUCGGGAAGAACACCAGUGGCGAAGGCGCUCUGCUGGGCCAUAACUGACGCUCAUGGACGAAAGCCAGGGGAGCGAAAGGGAUUAGAUACCCCUGUAGUC